rnacentral:tRNA from 1 species
GUUAAUGUAGCUUAACACUAAAAGCAAGACACUGAAAAUGUCUAGACGGGUAUUCACUACCCCAUAAACA